AUGGACUUAAGGCUCACAUUGGUUUCCUUUGUUCUUAUUUUAAAAGGUGUCCAAUGUGAGGUGCAAUUGCUGGAGUCUGGGGGAGGUUUAGUGCAGCCUGGAAAGUCCCUGAAACUCUCCUGUGCAACCUCUGGAUUCACCUUCAGUGAUUAUUACAUGGACUGGGUCCGCCAGGCUUCCCUGAAGGGUUUGGAGUGGGUCGCAACCAUUAGCAGUGAUGGUAGUAACACCUGGUAUAUGGACGCUGUGAAGGGCCGGUUCACAAUCUCCAGAGACAAUGCCAAGAACACUCUGUACCUGGAAAUGAGCAGUCUGAGGUCUGAGGACACAGCCAUGUAUUACUGUGCAAGAAACACAGAACCUCCCCCAAUGCAAAGCAGCCCCCAGGCUCAGAAUGAAAGCCAUGGCCUAGCUGAGAAGCCCCAUCUCCUUCUCACUGGAGCUCCAGCAAAGCAUGGCUGUCCUGGUGCUGCUCCUCUGAUUCUUGACCUGUCCAACCUGUGCACUGUCCCAGUUCCAGGUGAUGGAGUCAGUACCUGA